GCGGGCGUGGCGGAACCGGUAGACGCGUGGGACUUAGGAUCCCAUGGGUAUCCCGUGAGAGUUCGAAUCUCUCCGCCCGCACCA
rnacentral:tRNA from 1 species